GCUCAAAAUUAAAAUCUGGCAGGACUUGAUCUUGUCCGAAUUGUAGUUUAAAGAAGCGUUUUCGGGGGUGGCUGGGGUCCAAGCCAUUGGAAUGUGGCGCCAUAGAGGGUGAUAGCCCCGUACGGCCCUGCACCCACUCCUAUAUAUACGUUUUCUAAGAGUCGUAUAGCUUGAGAAUGCUGUGCUAAGAUGGGAGGUAAAUACCUUCUAAAGCUAAAUACUGGCGAGAGACCGAUAGCGAACAAGUACCGUGAGGGAAAGUUGCAAAGAACUUUGAAAAGAGAGUUAAACAGUACGUGAAAUUGUCCAAAGGGAAACGCUUCGACACCCUCGCGCGGGGCCCAGUCAUCAGCCUUAGUUUUUACUGGGGCGCAUUGGCUCGGUGCUCUGGCAGAAGGUAGGUUAGCUUUGGGGUAGAAAGCCGGUGGAAGGUAGCUGUUACUCAGUGUUAUAGCCGCUGGUCGAUGCCCUGAAGUUGACCGAGGACUCUUGCUGCCACCUUGGGGAAGCAGCCUCCUUUCUCGAACGGCUGAAAAACAACCUAGUUGAUUUUCAGUUUGUUUCGGGGUGAGAAAGGUUGUGUACCACUUUGUGUGCAUAGGAUCUUCUGAGAACGGUUCGAAGCGACCCGUCUUGAAACACGGACCAAGGAGUCCAACACACAGGCGAGUCUUUGGGUGUCAAACCCUUGGGCGAAAUGAAAGUAAUUUCUCAGGUGCCACUCCUGUCAUAGGGACGCAGCAUCGGCCGGAUCUCGAGGUUUACCAAAGGAUCGAGUAGGAGCCUGUUUGUUGGGACCCGAAAGAUGAUGAACUAUACUUGAGUAGGGUGAAGUCAGAGG
rnacentral:rRNA from 1 species